GGUUGAGUGGUCUAGUGGUUAUGAUCUCUGUCUCACAAGUUUGUUAGGUCACAGAGGGUCCCCAGUUCGAUCCUGGGUUCAACCA